rnacentral:tRNA from 1 species
UCCGGCCUAGUUCAACGGUAGAACACCCGCCAAGACGCGGGAAGAUUGAGGUUCGAAUCCUCAAGCCGGAACGA